GACGAACGCUGGCGGCGUGCUUAACACAUGCAAGUCGAACGAAGAGCGAUGGAAGCUUGCUUCUAUCAAUCUUAGUGGCGAACGGGUGAGUAACGCGUAAUCAACCUGCCCUUCAGAGGGGGACAACAGUUGGAAACGACUGCUAAUACCGCAUACGAUCUAAUCUCGGCAUCGAGGAUAGAUGGAAGGUAGCCUCUACAUGUAAGCUAUCACUGAAGGAGGGGAUUGCGUCUGAUUAGCUAGUUGGAGGGGUAACGGCCCACCAAGGCGAUGAUCAGUAGCCGGUCUGAGAGGAUGAACGGCCACAUUGGGACUGAGACACGGCCCAGACUCCUACGGGAGGCAGCAGUGGGGAAUCUUCCGCAAUGGACGAAAGUCUGACGGAGCAACGCCGCGUGAGUGAUGACGGCCUUCGGGUUGUAAAGCUCUGUUAAUCGGGACGAAAGGCCUUCUUGCGAAUAGUGAGAAGGAUUGACGGUACCGGAAUAGAAAGCCACGGCUAGCUACGUG
rnacentral:rRNA from 1 species